UCCAAAGCCCCUUUUGUUUCCAAGGGCAGUGUAGCUCCUUCCCAGGCAGAGGAAGUGGAUGUGUUCUCCAGAGCUCCUUUUACCAAGAAGAAGAGUGUGGAAGAGUUCCUGGCUGUGCAGGGUUCCUCACAGGAUUUGCUGAUGCAGGCCAACCUCAGUCAGCCCAGUGAAGGGCUCCUGCUUGCAGGCCGUGAUAGAGCCAUGUACACCCCUGCACAGGCACAGCAUCCGGUGACUGGCUUUGCCCUGCAGGCUGGUCUCCCCUCCCACUCUGUCCAGGUAGCAGACCAUUUUGACAGCAACUCUCCCAGAGGGUCUCCCAUGAACUCUGGGGGCCAUCCUAAUGACAGAAACAGAGGACUGCAGCCCCAGAAAGAAGCCUUCUCAGGGCCAGCGGCUGGCAAGCCAUUCCGCCCCCAGGCUUUAUCCAAAUAUUCUCGACACUAUAGCCCAGAAGAUGAGCCAAGUCCAGAAGCCCAGCCCAUUGCUGCCUACAAGAUUGUUUCACAAAGCAAUAAGCAGUUGCUAGCUGGCUCUGUGUCUGUCACAUCCCUGUCCUCCAGGACUACAGAGCUGGCCACUGCUGAUCCUUUUGCUUUAGCUCCCUUUCCUUCAAAAGCUAGCAAACAGAAACCCUAGGAGCAGAGAAUAGCCUGAGGCUUGCCUCCACCCACCCCACCAGCACCGAUCACAUCACUCCUGGCUGGCCUAUCAGGGAGCAUAUCCCAUCCACUGUGACCUUGCAGUCCCCUGCCUCAGAGCAGAGUCACUUCAAGGCAACCAGCCAAAUUGCCGUAAGACCCG
rnacentral:lncRNA from 1 species